UACGUAGGGCGCGAGCGUUGUCCGGAAUCAUUGGGCGUAAAGAGCUCGUAGGCGGCCGGUUGCGUCUGCUGUGAAAUCCCGGGGCUUAACCCCGGGCGUGCAGUGGAUACUGGAUGGCUUGAGUUUGGGAGAGGGAUGCGGAAUUCCAGGUGUAGCGGUGAAAUGCGUAGAUAUCUGGAGGAACACCGGUGGCGAAGGCGGCAUCCUGGACCAACACUGACACUGAGGAGCGAAAGCCAGGGGAGCAAACGGG
rnacentral:rRNA from 1 species